AGAGCGAGGGAAGCUCUCUACUACGACCAACGUUCUGUCGUCGCCUUGAACAUCUUGGAAGAACAUUAAUUUGCCCAAUGACUGCCUGAUCACCUAUCACCAAAGUGGACUUAGCCUGAGAAACUCGUUGAAGUCGUCGUGGGGACCUCGGUUCCUGCCAGCGUCUGCCCUGGCGAAGUCCAUGGUGUGUGCUGUGAGGAAUUAGAGUGCAAGACGUAUCAACAAGACGACCGACUGGAGCUCAGCACUGGAUGGCCUUAGCCAAAUUUUAAGCCCUACACCGCCUGCAAGCAACCGAGUCAGUAAGAAGUAUGCUUAUGUCCUCAAGAGCACAUGAAUGUGCACUCCAGAAUGUUUACAGCAAUGGGGAGAAAGCCCAAGGUGGUCUUCCUGAAAAAAUCAUUCUGGGAAUGUUACCCUGAAAUGCUAGAAAACAACAGUAACUAUAAACUCCUGGGCCAACUCAAAUCACCUGCAACACUAAAUGCAACCUGGCGGUCAAGGUCAACAGCCAGAAUCCACCCAAAAAAAUCUGAACACAAGUGGCUCGACUGGGGCUGCAUCACAGAAUGUAUCAAACCAAAGAAUUCUGAUUAAUGAUUUUACUAAGAAGGUAAGGUAGAUCACAUUAAAAUUCUAUAGAAAAUUUCAGCAAAUAACUUGGUAACUAUUUAUUCAUUUUUAUGUUACAUUUCAAUCACUAUGUCUAAACAAAUGUUCAGACAAAAUACUAUAAAAUCUAUAAUUAAAAUAAAAGUGCAUUGAAUUAAGUAACCACAUAUUUACAAAAUUUUACUGGCCAAACUAUAUGGCAAUGUAUUAUACAACACGUGUAUCUCAAGACAUUACAAAAUUAUAGAAUGCUUAUAAAAAUACAAACAAAUAUAUAAAAUACAAAAAACAUAUAUGAUAAAACAUAUUAGUACAAAAAAUGUCUACUGAAACCAAUAAUUAAUAGAUACAGUAGAACCCCAGUUUUAAAUUACUGCUUUACUUUUUUCCAUUAAUUGAACCAUUUUAUUCGGUCCCAUUUUAACCUCAUUUGUCUCAAAGCAAUAACUAUGUAAAUUCAUUUUUCCAGUGUUUGUCAUGUACAUAGUACAUAUGAAGAUAACACUUUCGUCUGAAAUAUGAAAUCAAAAAUGCUGUUGUGAACACUAGCGCUGUAAUUCCUGGAUGUUUCAAUGUGCUCGUGCAUUAAAAAUCUUAUUGACAGGCUGCCAACACUGGCCUAAUAAUGGCAGACUUUGAAAAAUGUUGGCACAUGAUGCAAGUGCAUAAAGUUCAUAGAAAUCCUGACUGUCCAUCAGUAACUAAUACAUACAGUAUUACGUACAGUAUAUAUGUAUAAUGUUUUUGUCAAUGUUUGUUAAAAAUAACAUGGUGUGUAACAAAUUUAAAUGUCAAUAAAUUUUUUUAUUAUACUGUGAGUAAUCAACUAAACUUUUAUCUGUAUUUUAUUGAGUGAGAGAGGCAGCACGCAAAAGAUUGGAAAACUUUAUAGAUGAAAAACUAAACAUUUUAACAUGCAUGGACGAGCACAAAGGUACUGUUUCACUCACUGAGAGGUUUGGGGUGCCUAUUUCAACUCUGAACACAAUUGUGAAAAAUCGCAAAAUAAUUGAAGGAAAUGCAGCUGAGUGAGGUGGUUUUUCAAAGAAAUAAAAAACAUUAGUGCAUAAAAAUAUGAGGAACUUUAAGUACUUUCGAAGAAAUGGUUUGUGGGUGCAAGGGCCAAGAGCCUCGAAUAUAUCCAUAAACAGUAUUUUGUUGCAAACCAAAAUUUCAGAUUUUUUCACACAGUACUGACAAUAUUAUAAAUUGUAAGUAGCUUUUUGUACCUAUACUUAAUUACAGAGAUUAAUUUUACCAAUUUUUUUUUAAAUACUGAAAUAGGAUUAUAAUAAACCUUGCUUUUUUUUUUGCUUUGAUAAAAAUUACUUUUGCUAUAGUACAUUUUCCUUAUGCUUUUUGUAUUGUGAUAAAGUAAUGCAUUUUUAUUAAUAUUCUUAACCUGUAAAUGUCUGAUAUUAUGAUUUGCUAAUAAUAAUAGUAUGAAAG